rnacentral:rRNA from 1 species
GCCUAGCCGUAAACAAUUAAUUCACAACAACCAGCGCCUGGAAAUUACGAGCAAUGCUUAAAACCCAAAGGACUUGACGGUGUCCCACCCAACUAGAGGAGCCUGUUCUAUAAUCGAUGAUCCCCGCUAUACCUAACCAUUUCUAGCUAUUCAGUCUGUAUACCUCCGUCGAAAGCUUACCAUGUGAACGAACUUUAGUAGGCCCAAGGACCCCAUCAACACGUCAGGUCAAGGUGCAGCUUACGAGAUGGAAAGUAAUGGGCUACAAUUUCUAAUCUAGAACAAACGAAAUACUGUGUGAAACCACAGUCACGAAGGCGGAUUUAGUAGUAAAAAGAAAAUAGAGAGUUCUUUUUAACCCGGCUCUGGGACGUGUACACACCGCCCGUCACCCUCUUCGACUUCAUAACAAAGUUCAUAACCCCAUUUUUUACUCUAGAAGAGGCAAGUCGUAACAUGGUAAGUGUACUGGAAAGUGUACUUGGUAUAUUACAAAAUGUAGCUUAACAAAAGCCCCCCGCUUACACCGAGGUAAUGUCUGUUCAACCCGGACCAUUUUGAGCCUAAAAUCUAGCCCAUAAAACCCCCAUGACCUCACCAACCUUCCACUUUACAAACAAAACAUUUUAACAUUUUAGUACAGGAGAUCAAAAAAUUACUAAGCGCUUCAGAUAAAGUACCGAAAGGGAAAGAUGAAAUAAAAAUGAAAUAACGUUAAAGCCCUAAACAGUAGAGAUUUUCCCUCG